CAGUCGCCACGGGAAUACAGAGGGUGCGAGCGUUAAUCGGAUUUACUGGGCGUAAAGCGUGCGUAGGCGGCUAAUUGAGUCGGAUGUGAAAUCCCCGAGCUUAACUUGGGAAUUGCAUUCGAUACUGGUUAGCUAGAGUGUGGGAGAGGAUGGUAGAAUUCCAGGUGUAGCGGUGAAAUGCGUAGAGAUCUGGAGGAAUACCGAUGGCGAAGGCAGCCAUCUGGCCUAAUACUGACGCUGAGGUACGAAAGCAUGGGGAGCAAACAGGAUUAGAGACCCCGGUAGUCCCUGUCUCUUAUAA
rnacentral:rRNA from 1 species